UACCAGCACCCCGAGUGGUCGGGACGAUUAUUGGGCCUAAAGCAUCCGUAGCCGGUCUUGCAAGUCUUCCGUUAAAUCCAGCUGCUUAACAGAUGGGCUGCGGAAGAUACUACAAGACUAGGAGGCGGGAGAGGCAAGCGGUACUCAGUGGGUAGGGGUAAAAUCCUCUGAUCCAUUGAAGACCACCAGUGGCGAAGGCGGCUUGCCAGAACGCGCUCGACGGUGAGGGAUGAAAGCUGGGGGAGCAAACCGG
rnacentral:rRNA from 1 species